rnacentral:misc_RNA from 1 species
UCAUUAAAUAGAGAAGCAACAGUCGUUACCAACAACUGUCAACCUAUUAUUGAGGAGCCGAAAACACCAGAACCAUUGCCAGAACUAUUAGAAAGUGAUAUUGAGGAUGGGUUUUUUGAAGAUCCUGAUGAAAUUCCAUUGAUCGAACUCAACAUGAAAGAGUUCACCACCAAUUUGGAGACUAUUUUACAAGAGCAUAAUAAAGAAGGCGACGUAUCCAAAGCUCUGGUGGCCUUGAAUCCAGAGGCAGCUUCAAUUCCUACUGCCAAGCUGAAAAAUGUCGGCCGCUUACGGACAGAACACCAAGUUUAUGAGCUCCCAGAUUCCCAUCAAUUGUUGGAAAAGUGGGAUAAAAGAG